rnacentral:rRNA from 1 species
GAUGAACGCUGGCGGCGUGCCUAAUACAUGCAAGUCGAACGAACAGAUGAGGAGCUUGCUCCUCAGACGUUAGCGGCGGACGGGUGAGUAACACGUGGAUAACCUACCUAUAAGACUGGGAUAACUUCGGGAAACCGGAUCUAAUACCGGAUAAUAUAUUGAACCGCAUGGUUCAAUAGUGAAAGACGGUUUUGCUGUCACGUAUAGAUGGAUCCUCACGGCAUUAGCUAGUUGGUAAGGUAACGGCUUACCAAGGCAACGAUGCGUAGCCGACCUGAGAGGGUGAUCGGCCGCACUGGAAAGGAGACACGGUCCAGACCCCUACGGGAGGCAGCAGUAGGGAAUCUUCCGCAAUGGGCGAAAGCCUGACGGAGCAAAGCCGCGUGAGUGAGGAAGGUCCUCGGAGCGUAAAACUAUGUUAUUAGGGAAGAACAAAUGUGUAAGUAACUAUGCACAUCUUGACGGUAGCUAAACAGAAAGCCACGGCUAACUACGUG